rnacentral:rRNA from 1 species
AUUGAACGCUGGCGGCAGGCCUAACACAUGCAAGUCGAGCGGAUGAAGGGAGCUUGCUCCUGGAUUCAGCGGCGGACGGGUGAGUAAUGCCUAGGAAUCUGCCUGGUAGUGGGGGAUAACGUCCGGAAACGGGCGCUAAUACCGCAUACGUCCUGAGGGAGAAAGUGGGGGAUCUUCGGACCUCACGCUAUCAGAUGAGCCUAGGUCGGAUUAGCUAGUUGGUGGGGUAAAGGCCUAUCAAGGCGACGAUCCGUAACUGGACUGAGAGGAUGAUCAGUCACACUGGAACUGAGACACGGUCCAGACUCCUACGGGAGGCAGCAGUGGGGAAUAUUGGACAAUGGGCGAAAGCCUGAUCCAGCCAUGCCGCGUGUGUGAAGAAGGUCUUCGGAUUGUAAAGCACUUUAAGUUGGGAGGAAGGGCAGUAAGUUAAUACCUUGCUGUUUUGACGUUACCAACAGAAUAAGCACCGGCUAACUUCGUG